CUAAAUUUGUUUAUUAGUUCUAACAGUUUGUGUGUGUGUGUGUGUGUGAUCUUAUGGUUUCCUAUAUGUAAGAUCAUAUCAUACAUGAACAGAGAUAAUUUUCCUUUUACCUUUCCAAUUUUGAUGCCUUUUAUUUCUUUUUUCUAGCCUAAUUUCUCCAGCUAGGACCUCCAGCACUAUGUUGAGUAGAAGUGGUGAAAUUCUUGUUCCUUGCCUUGUUCCUGAUCUUAGAUGGAAAGUUUUCGUUCUUUCACCAUUUAAUAUGAUGUUUGCUGUGAAUUUUUGGAAAUGACUCACCAAAACCUGAGGAAUAUAAGCAAGUUGAAACACAUUUUCUGGAUGAGAAAAAUAAUCUUUAAUGGAGCCUGUAAGAAUUGUUUCAGGAAUUAACAUGAGGAGUUCAUAAAUAAAGACAUAUCCUUUUAUUUUUAAAGCAA